rnacentral:rRNA from 1 species
GUACGAGGGGAGCUAGCGUUGCUCGGAAUCACUGGGCGUAAAGGUGCGUAGGCGGGUCUUUAAGUCAGGGGUGAAAUCCUGGAGCUCAACUCCAGAACUGCCUUUGAUACUGAAGAUCUUGAGUUCGGGAGAGGUGAGUGGAACUGCGGAGUGUAGAGGUGAAAUUCGUAGAUAUUCGCAAGAACACCAGUGGCGAAGGCGGCUCACUGGCCCGAUACUGACGCUGAGGCACGAAAACGUGGGGAGCAAACAGG